AACGCACAUUGCGCCCGCCGGUAUUCUGGCGGGCAUGCCUGUUCGAGCGUCAUUUCAACCCUCGGGCCCGUCCCGGUGUUGGGGCUCUGUAUGCUACCUAACAGACCCCGAAAGACAGUGGCGGAGCCGCCCAGUUCUCAGCGUAGUAACUUCUUAUCUCGUUGGGGACGACAGCGGUCGCUUGCCGUUAAACAACCCACUACAUUUUAUUGUUUGACCUCGGAUCAGGUAGGAAUACCCGCUGAACUUAA
rnacentral:misc_RNA from 1 species